rnacentral:rRNA from 1 species
GACAGAGGGUGCAAACGUUGUUCGGAAUUACUGGGCGUAAAACGCGCGUGAUGAGCUGCUUCGCAAGUCGGAUGUGAAAGCCCUGGGCUCAACCCAGGAAGUGCAUUCGAAACUGCAGAGCUGGAGUCCUGGAGAGGAAGGCGGAAUUCUCGGUGUAGAGGUGAAAUUCGUAGAUAUCGAGAGGAACACCGGUGGCGAAGGCGGCCUUCUGGACAGUGACUGACGCUGAGACGCGAAAGCGUGGGGAGCAAACAGG